rnacentral:snoRNA from 1 species
AUGCACAUUUCAUUGUCAUUUUUCUUUUGCCCCAAGAAAAAGAUAUUGAUGAUGUUCUGAACAAACUUUAACAAAU